CUUUUUUUUUUUUUUUUUUUUUUUCACAUUUUUCUUCAAAUUUUUUGGGACCUUAUUAAUUUCAAUUUUUGUCAAUUAACAUUCUUGUAAAUUUGUUUUAUUUAUUUUUUAGUGAGAUUUCCUCUAAAAAUAAUUUAAAUAAGAAUGUUUAACAAUUUUUUAAAAAUUAAAAUUUAUUUUUAAAAUAUUAAAAUUUAUAUAUAUAAUAUAUUUAUGGGGAUGAUAACAAAUGAAAUUUGAAAUUUGUGGUGGUUUAGUGUGUCAACGAAAUUAAUCCCAUGUAUAUAUAUUUUGAUACAUAUGAUAUGGCCUUUGUUUAUCCUUUGUUUAUAGCCAACCAAAAAAUAGAAUUAAUUUUGGUGUUUUUUUUAUGCUAUGAGGUAACCGACUUGUCAGCCGAACCAAAGCCUAAACCGUCCAACCAAGGACGCGGCGUGUAUUACAAGUCACGAUCUUAUCAAGAAGAGAAGUCCAACACCUUCUCAUCAAUGGGAUACACGUGUCAGCAGAUCCCUGACCACACAAAGAGGCUGAACUGUAGCCAGCUAAUAACAUCCGUCGAUAUCUAACGUUCCAGCAAAAAGCAAGGCACCGACUCUCCUUCCCUUGGUUGUAUAUUAACCGUCGAUCUUUCCAGGAAUCCUAAAUCUCAACCGCUGAUUGCCUAGGGCUCCUUUAUAUAAUUCUGGUUCCUUCUUAUCUGCAACCCAGGGCUUCCCGUUAUCGCCUCCUUUGUCAAGUCUUUUAAUUUUCGUUUUGCAGAUCUAUAGUCCUUCGGUUGUCUAAUCGGUUUCUGCUUACAUGAUCGAUUAGAUCGCAUAACGAUCUAUGUUUUGAUGGGUGAUUCUUGGUGUUUCUUUCUUCUUUGAUAUCGGGUAGUACCGGCGUCAAGAUUUGAAUCCUCUUGUAUUAACCGGGAUUGCGUUCCUUGUGCGGGUGCAUGGCUUGUUCUAGGGUUCAUAUCACUACCACGACUUGCUUUAUUUCGUGUUGGUUUCGUUGGACGCCGAUGUGUCGGUAUGAAAAGGUCAACUGUUGCAGAGGAUCUGAUCGGAGCUAGAUCUCAUCGCUGAUAAAGGCUUUGAUGUAAUCUAGGGAUGUGAGGUUCUGAUCUUUGUUUCUGAUGUUCUUGGUCAUCAGACCUUUGCCAUGACAGGUGCGCUUGCAUGGCAGGUCGCUAUCAGUAAUAAAAAAAUGAACUAUUUUUUGUUUGAGGGGGGAUCGCACGGGGGUUUGCCCGGGUUCUCCCCUCUGGUGUGCUCCGUGUCCUUCCCUUUCUCUCUCUCUCUCUCUCUUCCUACUCGUCCGUGCCCAUUCGAAAGGAAAUUCGAAUCAUCCAUCCCUGAAGAUCGUUAAAGGUACACAUGUUACAUUCAGUUUACUAUAGAUAAGCCAUAUCCAACAAUAUAUCUCAUUCAACAUGCAGUAGAUCAAAUAAUUUACACGAUGCCUCGAUGCUUUUUCUGUGGUCCCACCCGUUAUGGCUAACGGAAACUGAGGUUUUUAGUUUGGCUAAAAUAAUUUAGUAUUUGGUAUGGACAGUUUGCUUCGGGGAUUUUAUCUGCGUUACGGUUUCCGAAUCACCCUUUCCAAGGUAAACAUUCUAAGAGGGUUUCAAUUCACGUAAUAAGCAAAUUUUCUUAGUAUUAAAAUUUUAUUUAUCAUUUGAACUCAUGAUAUUGCGUCGACACUGAGGUUCUUCGUUUUACGGGAUCUUUUUCUAUUUGAAACCUGAAACAUGGGCAUUUUGCGAUUUCAUUGUUUUGUUUUUAAUUCAUUUCAUAAGACCGUAAGUGAAUGCACCAGUAUAUUUAAAUGUUACAGUAUUGGCUCACAGGAUGAUGUGGUUCUUUCUUUGUACUUGUUAAAUCUAUGGACAUUUCCAUUGAUUUGAUACCUUGUACAGCAUUUUGUAAAGCUUUCCUGUAUCUCCAACCACUUUGUUUGCAGAUUCAUGUUACGAGUUGAGGUUUGAUAUGGAUCUGUUUUCAUUCCUGAAAUUUCUUCUGUUGUAAUACUUUAUUCUUUAUGUUACUUCUAUUAUACUGUUUUAUAUCGAGAAAGUAGUCCCAAGGUAACUUAAACAUGGUUUGGUGAUGAAGAGAUGGAAAAUCCAAGGCAGGUUUCUGAUGGAGUUUGAUGGUGUUGCAGUCAAAGCUUUAAUGUGUGGUAACAGUUUCUGUCAUAAUGUUUAAUGUAGUAAUGCUCUUUGCUCUUUAUUGGUCAAGAUUUCAAUCUGUGUUUCCUUUUCAAGUUACGGGCCGAAAAUAAUUAUAUCAAUUGAGGUGAGAGAUUGCAUAUAAGACGUCAUUUGUGCUCAA